AUUGAACGCUGGCGGCAGGCCUAAAACAUGCAAGUCGAACGAGUGGCGGACGGGUGAGUAAUGUCUGGGAACCUGCCUGAUGGAGGGGGAUAACUACUGGAAACGGUAGCUAAUACCGCAUACACUCGGGUGUGCCCAGAUGGGAUUAGAUAGUAGGUGGGGUAAAGGCUAACCGAGGCGACGAUCCCUAGCUGGGCUGAGAGGAUGACCGGCCACACUGGAACUGAGACACGGUCCAGACUCCUACGGGAGGCAGCAGUGGGGAAUAUUGCACAAUGGGCGCAAGCCUGAUGCAGCCAUGCCGCGUGUAUGAAGAAGGCCUUCGGGUUGUAAAGUACUUUCAGCGGGGAGGCGUUACCCGCAGAAGAAGCACCGGCUAACUCCGUGCCAGCAGCCGCGGUAAUUC
rnacentral:rRNA from 1 species